rnacentral:rRNA from 1 species
UACGAAGGGGGCUAGCGUUGUUCGGAAUCACUGGGCGUAAAGCGCACGUAGGCGGAUCUUUAAGUCAGAGGUGAAACCCCAAGGCUCAACCUUGGAACUGCCUUUGAUACUGGGGAUCUUGAGUCCGGGAGAGGUGAGUGGAACUGCGAGUGUAGAGGUGAAAUUCGUAGAUAUUCGCAAGAACACCAGUGGCGAAGGCGGCUCACUGGCCCGGUACUGACGCUGAGGUGCGAAAGCGUGGGGAGCAAACAGGG